rnacentral:rRNA from 1 species
AUUGAACGCUGGCGGCAGGCUUAACACAUGCAAGUCGAGCGAGCGGCGGAAGGGUGGGUAAUGUCUGGGAAACUGCCUGAGGGAGGGGGAUCACUACUGGAAACGGUAGCUAAUACCGCAUAACAGCAGAUGUGCCCAGAUGGGAUUAGGUAGGAGGUGGGGUAAUGGCUCACCUAGGCGACGAUCCCGAGCUGGUGUGAGAGGAUGACCAUCCACACUGGAACGGAGACACGGUCCAGACGCCUACGGGAGGCAGCAGUGGGGAAUAUUGCACAAUGGGCGCAAGCCUGAUACAGCCAUGCCGCGUGUGUGAAGAAGGCCUUCGGGUUGUAAAGUACUUUCAGCCAGGAGGCGUUACUCGCAGAAGAAGCACCGGCUAACUCCGUGCCAGCAGCCGCGGUAAUUC